UCCACGAACAGGGCUUGGCGCUGUCCCCACC
rnacentral:piRNA from 1 species